AACGUAGGGGGCAAGCGUUGUCCGGAAUUACUGGGCGUAAAGGGCGUGUAGGCGGCGAAGCAAGUCAGGAGUGAAACCCAGCGGCUCAACCGCUGGCUGGCUUCUGAAACUGCAUUGCUUGAGUGCAGGAGAGGGGAGUGGAAUUCCCAGUGUAGCGGUGAAAUGCGUAGAUAUUGGGAGGAACACCAGUGGCGAAAGCGGCUCCCUGGCCUGUAACUGACGCUGAGGCGCGAAAGCGUGGGUAGCAAAC
rnacentral:rRNA from 1 species